AGGACUAAUAGUAGUGAAGCUCAAGAGGAAAAUAUUUUGAUCAAGUGACCAGUCUAUUAGCUGCAAUGCAAGUUUAAGCCUCAUGAGGAAUGGUUGCAGCCAGUAAGAUAUAAUAGAUUCAAGCUUGAAGCAAACCUGUUCUUUCCGCUUCUCAUGUGUGGAGAAACAGGUUACGGCUUACUGAUCCCAACCCAACUCAGCAGUGAGUAAAAUUUGUUGCUACAGAACAAUACUGGCAGAAGAACAAAUGGAUCCCAUGAAUAAAUUUAGGUUGAUAAUUAGAAGAAAUUUUCUAACCAUCUGGAAUAACAAUCAGAAUACUGAGGGUUGUGUAACAGUCUUCAGAUGAACAGUGGAAUGAGACCAUUGAAAUUUUUUGAAGAUGAAGCUUGAUAAACUUCUCUAUGGGAUUGUUUGGGAUGAUUGUCUGCAAAAACAGGGGGCUGAAAUAAAAAAUAAAAAACAAAACGAAACAAAACAAAACAAAACAUGAUGUUGUAUGCAGCCCUUUGUGCAAUUUAAGGGAAAGUGAUGUCAGUCCAUAAGGAUGAACAUUAUGGAAUGAGAAUGACUACUGCAGAGGCCAAGAACAGGAUAGAUAUGGAUCACUUUUCCUCACAAAGCAGAAAUGAGUUGGUGCCCACUUCAGGCCUGCUUUAUUGCAUAUAGGAAGAAAUUUCCACUGACGUAAGUACAAAGAGGAAACAUUUCUUAACUGAGAAUUGGCUUCUA